rnacentral:hammerhead_ribozyme from 1 species
AUUCAGCUGACGAGUAUUAAAUAAGACGGAAUGCGCGUCCUGGAU